rnacentral:lncRNA from 1 species
GCACUACAUGGGCCACUUCAGCAAUGGUUGUUGAUGGUAAGAAACGGAUGACAAAUGGGUGAUCUGUAAUCUUGUAAAGGUUAGUGCACCUUCCCACUUCAAACCCAGCAACAGAAAAGAUUACACCUUCUUGUAAAACAUUCCGAAACUGGCUGGCACGUGCAGCUGGGAUGAAACAGUGAAUUACAGAGCACUGCAAAGAAAAUUUGUAAACGUUUCAAUCAUAAAAGUAAAAUAUAAUACAUAUGUAGAAAAUGGGUAAACGUUUCAGUCAUAAACAGCCUUUUAAUCAAAAAUAUAGUGGAACAUGCACUUGACUAUAUAUUUAAGUAACGAUUAAUAAGGGAGAAUUCAAAUGUAUAAGAAAACCAGAUAACUGAAAACAAAGUUUUUUGGAAUAUUUUUCCUAAACAUGUUAGAUUGGGUUAUUUUUUAAAAGGCAAACAGAUGGUUUUGAUGACCAAAUUAAACACAUGGAAAUGAUUUAGUAGGAUUUGAAAAUAUUACCUUUUCAUCAAGCAAUAGAGCAACUAUACCCAUGAAUUCUCCAUUUUUUAAAAUAUUUCGUGCAUCCCAAAAGCGUAGGAGUCGGCCAACUACUUGUUGAGAAGAACGUCCAAGUCGUAAAUCAUCAAAGGUGGAGUAAUCACUGGUGGCAGGAAUCGCAACAACAUCAAUGGCAGCCAUUUUGUGAAAGGUAUGAUGUGUUCAGACUUUGAGUUUUGGGAAUUGUAAGGUUGCAGCCGUUCAGCGUGAAGGUAAUUUAUAGGGAGUGAACUUAACAGGGGAAUUCUAUGGUAUACUGAUGAGGGGCGUAUUUAUAAAGCAUAAGUGGGGCUAAUAAAAACUGAAGAGUAACGUAUUUAUCUAGGAAGUCAGAGAAUGGUACUCAGCUAAGAUUAAAUGUUAGAGUUAAGUGACGAAAUUGCAGAGAGGAUUUGAUGAACCUUUUUGGGAGUGAUCUGUAACGCUUAAUCGCAUAAGCGAUGAUUCAAUCAUAGAGGUUUUGAGCUUCUGAGAAACUGAACAGGGAACGACGGGAGAAGAAGAAGAAACGACAAAGAAACGAAAGCGACAAAGAAGGAAAACCUAUUAAAGAAAUGGAGUCCAGGGAAAUUUAGAAGGCCUUAGUUUGUAAUUUUAGGCCCGAAUUUGAGGUAUUUGAGGGCCAAAACUUUGUGGCCAAUUAUAAACAUUAUUCACCCAAAAUAAUAUAAGCCCAAUAGUACAAGUUUUACAAAUUUUAGAAUAAAUGCUGACGUGGACACUCUAAUGGGAGAGAGAAGUCUCCUAUCUUAUAUAAUAAAGUAGGGUUCCUCCA